UAAAAAAAUAUUAGAUUUGUCAAAAUGUAUAUUUAUUAAAUAACUGCUAAAAAUAUUCAUGAUUAUUAUUGAAAAAUGUUGACAAUUGGUUUGAGUCACUGAUAAUUAAAGUUGUAGCUUUAAAGAGCACAAUUAAUUGCAGUUACGUUUCAUUCUAGGAAGACCCAGACUUACCAUCCAGCGCAUGUUUUGGGGCGAAUUAAAAUAAUGUGGAAUAUCUGGCUGGGAGGAAGCAAGAUCUAUUGCUAAAGACAGGGGGCGUUGGAGGGAUAUGCUGGAGGCCUUAAGUGCCCAAGGCACGUAGAGGAUAAGUUAUUUAUUUUCUGACUUGAGUCUGUGAAGAGUUUUAGACAGUGUAGAAGAUCCUUGCUGAAGCUUGUUGUAAGACAGAUGAAUGUCAUGCCAUGGAUUAUGGAUUUUUCUGUUCUUGAUGGAGGCUGGAGAGAUCUUGCAAAAUCAAAGUUUAGAUUAAAAAAAGACAGGCGGAUAGAUUUGAUCUGUGAAUCUGCUAUUGAAGCUAGUCGUUCAACAUUAUCAAGUUCCACAUCACACUUCAGGAUGCUUUUCGCUGAUAUUUCUUAGUAUAUGUAUGAAGCAAGAAGGAUGCCAAAAUCUUUUUUG